AUGGCAAACACAAACAGCGACACCAAAGAAGAAAGCAAAAAAAAUGGAUGAAAGAGAGACAAUACCUUUAUUUUCUUUUCUUGUACGUCUGAUUUGGAUGAUCAAAGGUACCCUAAUACACCUGGCAUUUGGACAAGAGAACAGGUGGAAGCUUGGAAACCAAUUGUGAGCUCUGUUCAUGAGAAGGGAGGUAUUUUCUUUUGUCAACUUUGGCAUGCUGGGAAAGUCUCCAACUAUGAUGAAUUCCAACCACAUGGUGAAGCCCCAAUAUCAAGCACAAACAAGCGACCUCGUAAGGAAAUCCCCAAGCUUGUCAAUGAAUUCGUAAUUGCGGCCAAAAAUGCCAUGGAAGCGGGUUUUGAUGGAAUAGAACUACAUGGAGCAAAUGGGUACUUGCUGGAUCAGUUCCUAAAGGACAAAGUGAACGACGAAGAUGAUGAGUACGGAGGUACUAUAGAAAAUCGUUGCCGGUUCCCACUGCAAGUGGUGAAGGCAGUAGCUGAUGAGAUCGGAGCUGACAAGGUUGGGAUUAGGCUCUCCCCUUUUGCUGAUUGCGUAGGAGACGACACCAACAACGAUGAUCCUCAAGCAUUGGGGAUUCACAUGGCUGAGUCAUUGAAUCAACUUGGCAUUCUCUAUAUUCACUUGAUUGAGCCCAGGACGAUGGUAACACAGUUCCACAAGUUUGACACAAAAUAUUUGUCCCUAGAGCCAAUUAGGAAGGCCUUCAAGGGAACUUUCAUUGUGGCUGGUGGUUACGAUAGGAGUGAGGGAAACCUAGCCAUAUCCAGCAGUGCUGCUGAUUUGGUUGCUUAUGGGCGCCUUUUUCUGGCAAAUCCAGAUCUCCCCACAAGAUUCCAGCUCGAUGCUCAGUUAAACGAACCCGAUGCCACCACCUUUUCCACCCAUGACCCUGUGCUUGGAUACACAGAUUACCCAUUUCUUCAAGAUAUAUAGUCAGUAGAAGUAAUUAGAGGUCACAAAAUGAACAGACUUGUCUUGCAAAAACCCAUUAAUUAAAAGCCCUAAAAAGUUAGGUUUUUAUAGGAUUUGAACUUCAUUUUAGAGGUUCAAAUUUAAUCUUUUUUUUUUUUUGGUUCAACUCACAAUAAUAUGCAACCUACAUUGGAGUCACUUGCGUUGGGUGGAAUAAUCCGUUUUUCCACUUCUAAAAAUGAAGUUAUGUUUGACAUUCAUCUUGCUUCCACUAUCAUCAUCCCUCGAUCUUGACUUGUAUAAUUAAUUAAGUACCAUCUUUUAUUAUGACUUUUGUAAGUGAAUGUCAUUAGAUGAAACACUAGUCUAUAUAUUAUACAUAAAGAUUCACUUUUAA